rnacentral:tRNA from 1 species
AGGGGGUUAGUCCAAGUUAAGACCCCUGAUUUCGGCUCAGGACACCGUGGUUAAAAUCCACGACCCCCUU